GAGAAACAUAUCUAUUUAUUUGAUCAUGAGGAGCACAUUAUGAGAUUAUUGUCUGGUUCAGCCCUCGAAAACUUCCCUUGGCUAUCCUCCAACUCCAUCAUUAAGAGUGUGUUUGGUAUUGCGGUAGCUAUUGUGGUUGUGGUUUGAAAAAAAUUGUUUUAUAAAAAGUACUUUUAAUUGAGGUUGGUUUGAAAAAAUAGGUGUUUGGUUAAAACUGUGGUUAAAAUUGAGGUUGAAUAAAAAAUAGUUUAAUGUGUUUGGUUAAGAAUGUUUUUAAAAUUGAGGUUAUAAAAUAAUUUUAAGAAAUAUAUAUUAAUAUUGAUGGUUUUAAAUUUAAAUAUUGUAAAUUUAAUUACUCCUAUUACAUCAUGGAAUAAAUAAUACUUUAUAUAAAAUAUUUUUUAUUAUUCCAUUAAACUAUAUAUAAUUUCAUUACGUACAAAAUUCAUCCGAUAAGAACUACAAUUUUCAUAAUUUUUUGAGUGUGUAAUAAAAUAUUAUCAGAUAUAAAAUUGAUAUUAAUUCACUCUAUACUACUUUUUCAAGAAAAAAAAUAUUGUUCACAUCACAGUGCGAAUGAAUUUAAUUCACUCUAAACUAGUUUUUUUUAAAAUAAAAAUUUAAUAAAAUUAACACACUGCAAAAAAAAAAAAAAAAAACAGGACGAACAGUGCAAGUGUUGCAUUGUUCACGUGAACAGUGCAAUUCACUUGCACUGCAUUAUUUUUUAAUGUGAACAGUGUACCAUGAACACUGUUCAUACUAAUUGCAUUGUUCAAUGAACAGUGCAAUUAGCUGCACAGUGCAUGAAAAACAUGAAUUUUUUGCUUUUCAUUUACUGCGUUUUUGACGCAAAAUUUACGUGGGUCUCACAGUAAAUCAAGUUUUUUUUGUUACCAAACGGCUGCUGACUGCGUUUUCAAUAAAACGCAGCCGCAGCCGCAGAGCCAGACGGGCGCUAAGUUGAAGCCAAACUGUAAGCAGGGAUUUUAGCUAGCAGUGGCUGCUUCAUGAUCAUGGACAAACCUCUUAUUGGAUAAUAUUGGAUAAAACCACAUAGGUCCGCCCCAUCAUUCCGAGGUUCCAAGCCCUGCAGUUCGAUAAUUGGGUUGCUAUGGUUUUAGCCGGGUCUUGGCUUCAAUGUUGUGCUGGUGGUGGCUUUGUUGGGAGCUGAGAGUCAAAAUGUGUGGGUACUUGGAGCAAGACUGUAAUGGAGGUGUUUGCAUGCUUGAGGUUUCCGAAGCCCGAGUAGGCAACGGUACUGGAACAAGUUGAAGCACAUGUCGAGGGACUAAAAAGAUGCUCUGUUUUUCUGAUAUCUACAAAACUCCAUUCCAACAAAGAUAUUUUGGACUGAUUGUGAGAGGUAUAUAACAAAGAGUUAUGGGGACAACCAAAAUUUCAUUUCAAAUUGAACAAUCCAAUUACAAUGACUAACAAGAGCUUCAACCGAACUCCAACACAAUUGUGUGGUUGGAAAGAUCUGUAUAGGCUGCUUCACGUCAAACCAUAAGGUUCACCAAAAGUGUUCUACUCAAGAGUUAUUCAGGCAUUCUAUCUGAACUUUGACUUCUAUAACC
rnacentral:lncRNA from 1 species